GCCUUGCCGGGCUCCGCAGGGAGUGAGUGCAGGUGGGGGCGGCCUGGGUUUCCGAUCAGCAGAUGUGACUUCAGGAGGGUGGUGGCUCCCUUUCCGGGGCCUGGGGGAGUCGGGAAGCAGAUGACCCCAGGCAGAAGUCACACACCGGCCUCUAGAGCGCCUGCCUCCUGCUCUAGGCCCUACGCUCUGGGGGACCAUCCCACAGGAGGCGGGGACAGCCUGCGGGACCCUUCCCAGCAGAGGUGUGCCCUCCGACAGGACCCUGACCCCUGCAGCGGGGGAGGGGGGCCCUGGUCACGUGGGUCCCCUGGUUCUGGGUUGGGCUUGUGACUCGGGUUCCCGUGGGUGGCGAGCUGGGGAGGCCGUGCGGCCAGAGAGCAUGUCUGGGCCUCCCCUGGGCCGGGCAGCUGGAGCCCUGCGCCCCUUCUCCUAUCCACCUGCCGCCGCCCCCAGGGCCAGCUCCCUGACUCCUACUCUGGGGGUAUUUUUACCACGUGUGUACAAGAGAGUGUGUCGUCCUGCUCGACUGUGAGCUGACGGCCGCUGGAGGCCUAUCGUGUUUCCGGGUCACCCCAGUGAGGACGCCCAGGAGCCCCACCUGGCCCUCGGCCGGCUCUCCAGACAGGCAUCCCCUCCCAGCGACUCGGGCCCUCCUGCGGAACACGCCGAACUGGGUGGCGAGAGCACGGUGUGAGGGUUCUGUGCCCCAUCCUGUGACUGGGGCCUUGAGCCCCGCUGCUGAGCCCAAAGGGCACGCUGGCCUGCUUGGGAGAAGGGUCUGGAGGGACACCAUUCUAUGCGCCGAUGUCCGUGACCCUGUUUUCUCAACCAGGGGAGCCCCCUCCCCCAGUAACGGCCAGUGCCGUGGGCCGGUGCCAUGUCCCUGCUGGUGCAAAGGGGCCAUAGGCACCCCCCUGGUGUUGGGAGUCCCCGGGGAGGCCCCCUCGUCCCCCCACUCAGGACCAUGGCGGUGGCUGCGGGGACCCACCAGGGCUGGGUGGCCCGCCCGCUGACUGUUCCCCGUGGGGGCUCCAAGGGGGACACAGGCCCACGUGUGGCAGCUCAGCACAGUGAGGUGGGGUGUCGGGGGCUCCCCGGCUCGCCGGCUGCUCGAGUGCCCUAGGGCACAAGUGGAACAUUCUGCGGCUCCCGCCAAGCUGAGAGCUGCGGCCGCCCACGCCGCCCAAUGGACGGUAUUAAUAGCAUUUCCCUGGUGACCUUCCCCGCCACAGACUCAUCAGCUGCAAUCAGGGCCUCCCAGUUAGAGGCGCAGGAGCUCCGGGAAACAGCCCCGGGCCUGAGGUCAGCAGCUCGCUCAGGGCCCUCGGGAGCAGCUCCGCGGCACGCCUGUCCGGGCAGGAGGCUCCUGGACGCAGGUCCAGCGGGGAGCCUGGAGGCUGGGAGGGGGGUGGAGGGGUGACGGGUCAGGGCCGUGGGCCCUGCAUUAGGCUGCGUGACGAGGGAGGCCGAGGGGUCCCUGGGGCCACCUGACGGAGCAGCACAGACAGGGGGUGUCAAUAUCGGGACCGUGUCCUCUCCCAGAAGCCCGAGCCGGGCUGUCCGCGGCGCCGGCUCCUCCGAAGCUGUUCCCGGUGGUCCCAGCGUCUGGCGUUGGCCCGUCUUGGCCUCCCUUGGCCCAGGGUGCCCAGCUCUGCUCUGAGAGCACAGGGGCCUGGGGUGCGGCCUGCAGGGCUGCCUGGCCCGGGCAGGACCCACACACAUACACACAUGCGCGUGCACACACACACACACACACACACACAGCCCCUGUCUCUGACCGAGGCCUGAGGCCCCCACCUCGGGGACCGUGGACUCGGCUCUCCGGAGGCUGUGCCGGGGUGGGGAGCUCGGCCCCGUGUGAGUCCCACAACCCCAACCGUGCAGCCGCCUCCCGCCAGUCCUUUCCCCUAGAUCCCUGUGUGCACGGGACGCACCCCUGCUUUCCCGCCCCGGGCUGGGAGGAUGCCCGAGGCCUCGCAGGCCGCAGCGACGGCGCCGGUGUCACAGGGCCCUUCCCGACAGGCGCCGACCGCCAGCCUCGGCCUCCUGAGUGUGUCUGCCGGGGAAAUCUGAGAUCCGAUGUCAAAUUAAAAAAUGAAGCUCAGGCCUUUAA